rnacentral:rRNA from 1 species
GAAAUGCGAUAAGUAAUGUGAAUUGCAGAAUUCAGUGAAUCAUCGAAUCUUUGAACGCACCUUGCGCUCCUUGGUAUUCCGAGGAGCAUGCCUGUUUGAGUGUCAUGAAAUUCUCAACCUGUCUUGACUUUUUUGUAAGUUCAAGUCAGGCUUGGAUCAUGGAAGUUGCUGGUUUUUGAAUCAGCUCUGCUUAAAUGCAUCAGUAUAAUUAUUUCUGGUCAUCAAUGGUAUGAUAAAUAUCUAUAUCAUUGAAUGUUAUCUAAAAAUAUUUUGCUUCCAACUGUCUUCAUAAUUGAGACAAUAUGACAUUUGACCUCAAAUCAGGUAGGAUUACCCGCUGAACUUAA